rnacentral:rRNA from 1 species
GGAGCUGUCCUUAGUACGAGAGGACCGGGAUGGACGGACCGCUGGUGUACCGGUUAGACUGCCAAGUCUACGGCCGGGUAGCCAAGUCCGGAAGGGAUAAACGCUGAAGGCAUCUAAGCGUGAAGCCCCCCUCAAGAUGAGAUGUCCCAUUCGAAAGAAGUAAACCCCCUUGAAGACGACGAGGUAGAUAGGGCAGGGGUGGAAGUGCAGUAAUGCAUGGAGCUGACUGUUACUAAUAGGGUGAGGGCUUGACCAACAA